UCGGAAUGAAUUCUGCUGUUUCUAACUUUUUGUCUGAGUUUUUUUUUUUUCGCAUUAAAGAACAGAAACUGAUUUGUUAAAGAACUGUUCGAAGAAAAAUAUAACAUAUACUGUGUAAAGUAUCUCUACACUAUUACAUCACUCCUUAUAUAUUUGUAGGUAAACUUUCAGAUUUGUAAUCUUAAGAUUAAGAUAAGUUACCUGUUACAAUAGAUAAAUGUGACACAAUUCCUUAGAAUAAGGAUGUGUAUACCUUACGAGUUUAAGUUCUAUGCACCGUCAGUGCACAAAAUAUUCUACACUAUCAGUUAACUUGACCUGAUAUUGCAGGUUACCAAUUAUUUACAUAGAACUUUUUAAAAAAAAUUAGAUAAGCUACAAUAGCAAGUAAAGUUUACCUGAUAGUGUAGAAUAUUUUGUACACUGACGAUACACAAAACUUAAAUUCAUACGUUAAACUAAUCAAAAAUUUAUUUCAUCUGCAUAAGGGCGAAAAAGGUUGUCCAAAGCAGGCAACUCUAAUUUCAGUAAGUUAUCAAUACGAGAACUAGGAAUACUAUUAUAAGCAAUAUUGGGUUUGAACUUUGACAUUGUCAGAUGGCCAGAAUUUUGAUCUGGCACCAAUGCUGCUGCAUCCUUGCCUGUUAGUUUCUGAACUACUGACUUGAAAUUCCUAGCAUCUGUCUCUAUAUACUCCGUGUUGAUUAUCACCACCUUCACCUUAUCCCUGCUGUUUUUGUCUGUUGACAUGUUUUUUGGUUAUUUUUUCUUACUUCUUCUAGCAAUUGAUAGUUAGACUUCAAACUAGUUGAGCCACUAAAUUUCAGAUAUCUAAUACUUGAAUCAAAAGACUACUAGUUUGAAUGCGAAGGUAAUCUCAAGCUAAGAUUCUGCUCGUGAGCGUAAUAGUAUAAGUACUGACUGCGAGACCGACUACUAAUCGACCAGAGACGAAAGUUGACCAAUACUUUUCUAGUCUUUUCUAGAAAGAUUGACUCAACAAAUAAUACAACACUGAAUUGACGAAUUAUUUCAGAAUAUAGAAAUAUCGAAAACGUAGAAGGCAAAUUUGCUCUUGGAUCUUGGAUCUUGGAUACGUGGAUAUAUGGCUAUGAAGAAAGAAAGGGGUGUUGGUGUUGAU
rnacentral:lncRNA from 1 species